CCACGUGUCUGCUCUUCCCUUCCUCUUUCUCCCAGGACAGCUGGAUGAAGGGACGCUGGACGUAGCUGUAGAUGACCUCGGAUUUCCCACCUGGACGCCGCUUCACCUUCUCCUUACAGCAUUACCUCCGAUUGGUGGAAUGACCUGGUCAAGCAGUUUCAUACUGGUGCGUUUCCAGAUCUUCUUAAUAAUUGCACGCAGCUCUUCAUUGGCCUGCUCGAAAUUACCUGAUGGAUGAAAAUUCAGAGAAUUCAUGCCUUAAUGGGCAACACGAUGGGGGCAGAACUUUCCAAAUCCAAGCGGUGGCUGGAUUCUCCUCAGCAGCGUCACGACAUCCAGGUGUUUAAUGCGCCCCCUGCAGAACAACACCAGAAUAACACAGAGAAUCAGA